GUUUUUCUAGGCCACCAUUUCAGGUAAACUCUCUGCAAAUCAAUCCCAGAUGCACGAGGAUCUUCCUCGGGGCCCGCUUGACUGGGCAGCGGGAAGGAGGAGAGGCCUGAAGAAUGAGAACCAAAAUUAUUUCAGUUUCAUGGUCCUUGUCCUUGAGAGAAUUCUUAUCUGGAGGGGCAGAGCUUAAAAAGUAAUAAAUACAAUUUAAAACAGACACACAAAAAACAAGAAAUCAUUGGGUGGAAAUGAAAGAGAAUAGUAAAGUACUAAAUUACAUAGUUCACACUUGUGCUGUAGAAGGUCAAAAAAGAAUGUGUUCUUUUUUAAUGUGUUCUUUUUUAAAUGUGUUCUUUUUUAUGAAAAGAGGAGAAAAAUGCUUAAAAUGGGCCCUGAUGAGCAAAUUAACACAGAGAAGGGAGAUCAGAGGACAACCUGAGAAGGAAAUGGAAAUCAGAGUCCAAACGGCAACAGCCGGCCACUCCCUGUGGACCUGGCGAAUGAGACACAGCGGAUGCAGAGUCGGCAAGGAAAAGACCAGCCCCUGAGAGCCCCGUGGGAGGAGGAGCAGCCCAAACCCAGUGUGGGCGGUAUUGAUGCCUGCCUUGGCUUACUCCAGCCAAGAUGGAAGGUGACUUCCAAGAAUACAGAAGCAGCCAACAAGAAAGCAAAAGGGAGAGGGAAGAGGAAGAAAGCAAAUCAAGGUGCAGACAUGAAGUUAGCCCAAGAGAUGCAGUUUCUGCAAAGCUGCUGUGUGCAGACCGGCAGUCCUGGAGCACCGUGGUGAGUACCGCUCGUUAUCUGAUCCGCCGGCAUCUGGGGAGGGUUGGGGGUGUAGUUCCAUGGCAGCAGACUCAGUAUCUUUUGUACAAAUAUAUAUCAACAUAUUAGCGGGACAAGGUUUAAAGACGGGCUAACCUCUGAUGUUUCUGUGGUGCUGGGGAUCGAACCUGGAGCCUCAUGCAUCCUAAGCCCAGGCUGUACCACUGAGCUACAUCCAGCUGCCAAAUGCAAUCCUCAGAUCCUACUUAAAAAGCAGUAAUUUUUCCAGGUGCUCGUUGGGAGAGGCUCACAGGGUUUUCAGCAAGUUUGUUCCUAUUCC
rnacentral:lncRNA from 1 species